GAUCAGUUUUGGGUUCUAAGCUGGUAUGCUUUUCUUUUGCAAUGAUCAUCCACUUGGAUGUGAGCAGAGAUGGAUGAGGUGCCUCUGGAACAAGCUUUGGAGGAAGAUGAUGCGGCUGCUUAGUCUCCUUAGGAUUCUUCUAGUUAUUUAUUGUAUUUUGAAUUACUCUAGUAUGCUUAAGUUUUAAAUUAUAACUCAUUUU
rnacentral:sRNA from 1 species